UACGUAGGGAGCAAGCGUUGUCCGGAAUCAUUGGGCGUAAAGCGCGCGUAGGCGGCCCUGUAAGUCCGUUGUGAAAGUCAAAGGCUCAACCUUUGAAAGCCGAUGGAUACUGCAGGGCUAGAGUCCGGAAGAGGCGAGUGGAAUUCCUGGUGUAGCGGUGAAAUGCGCAGAUAUCAGGAGGAACACCGGUGGCGAAGGCGGGUCUCUGGGCAGUAACUGACGCUGAGGAGCGAAAGCGUGGGGAGCGAACAGG
rnacentral:rRNA from 1 species